UGAGCCGAAGUCAGAAGGAGAGAUUCGUUUGAUCGAAACCCCGAUGAGAGAAGGUCCAGCAGGCUGAGACGCAGCAUUCCCCCAUUAGAAAAAAAAAUGAAACAAGCCACACCAAAGGGAGGGCCGGUCCCUUUCACAGCAUCUUUUCCAGUUGUCCAUGGAGCAAGGACCCUAACCGGGGAGAGGCAGGCUUAGUUGUCGGCCUGCGCCCGCCGGUCUCCAGAAACGCCCGGCGUUCAGGAGUGCUGGGACAUCCCGUUCACCAAGCCUCGCAGCUGCCUCACCACCGUCUCGAUGAGCUUCUGCUUGUCGCGGUCGUUCUUCCUGAACUGGGCGAAGAUGUUGUUCUUCUUCACGUCUUUCAUUCUGAAAGCAGAACGGGAGAAAAGGAAAGAAACAGAAUUUAAGUUAGUUCGUUCGUUUUCAAAAGAAACCCAAAUUUCCUCCUUAUUUGCGUUCGUUCCCAACGCAAAGGGCUUAAUGCCCGCAGCCUCCCCCCCAAAUGCGCAAAAAACGGCGCGCUCGGAACCUUUGAGGUUCUCAAGCAGCCGAGUUUAUGGCACCAGCUUAAUCCGAUUUUCUUCCAAUCGGAACGGCGGAAAGAGCAGUCUAGGCGAAAACAACAGAGAGACGCGUGAACUUCAAAGGCUAAAAUAUUUUAGGGUGGCAUAAACUUUCCGGGACCCGAGUUCAUUUUCCAAAUCUGAAAAUUCUGAGCUGGGAUGACAAAGCAGGAUUUUCCAGUGCAAACAAGACUUUUUUUUAAAUGGGGGAUGGAGGCUACCCUAAAUAUUAUAGAUGUGUGGAAGUAUCCAUGGAAUCAAAGGGAAUUCUGUUACAAUCAGCUGGUUUUUAAGUUACUUGUACAAGGAACAGAAUGCAGUUCAUUGUAAUUCGUAUAUGGGCCACUUCUUGUAACCAUUAA